GCGUUGUCUACUGCUUCGAAAUGGGGCACCGUGCUGUUACUCCGCUUGAACUUAAGCAUAUCAAUAAGCGGAGGAAAAGAAACCAACCGGGAUUGCCUUAGUAACGGCGAGUGAAGCGGCAAAAGCUCAAAUUUGAAAUCUGGUACCUUCGGUGCCCGAGUUGUAAUUUGGAGAGGGCAACUUUGGGGCCGUUCCUUGUCUAUGUUCCUUGGAACAGGACGUCAUAGAGGGUGAGAAUCCCGUGUGGCGAGGAGUGCGGUUCUUUGUAAAGUGCCUUCGAAGAGUCGAGUUGUUUGGGAAUGCAGCUCUAAGUGGGUGGUAAAUUCCAUCUAAAGCUAAAUAUUGGCGAGAGACCGAUAGCGAACAAGUACAGUGAUGGAAAGAUGAAAAGAACUUUGAAAAGAGAGUGAAAAAGUACGUGAAAUUGUUGAAAGGGAAGGGCAUUUGAUCAGACAUGGUGUUUUGUGCCCUCUGCUCCUUGUGGGUAGGGGAAUCUCGCAUUUCACUGGGCCAGCAUCAGUUUUGGUGGCAGGAUAAAUCCAUAGGAAUGUAGCUUGCCUCGGUAAGUAUUAUAGCCUGUGGGAAUACUGCCAGCUGGCACUGAGGAACACGGCGCUCUCACAGCCUGCUAAUUCCGUCGGUUCUUUG
rnacentral:rRNA from 1 species